rnacentral:misc_RNA from 1 species
AGUCAUCAACCCCUACCGUUUAGUGCGGUUGUGGGUUGGAUCUGGGGGUCUGCUGCCGAGAGGCGGCUCCCCUCAAAUGGAUCGGUUGGGCCUGUGGGUCGGACUCGAUUGGGCGUUGUAUUAUCCUCGCUCUAACGAGAUGUUCCCCUCUCUGUGCCCCUCCACGACCUGCCUAUUGAGUGGCGGUCAAACCAACUUUGAAA